rnacentral:rRNA from 1 species
UACGAAGGGGGCUAGCGUUGCUCGGAAUCACUGGGCGUAAAGCGCACGUAGGCGGACUCUUAAGUCGGGGGUGAAAUCCUGGAGCUCAACUCCAGAACUGCCUUCGAUACUGGGAGUCUUGAGUUCGGGAGAGGUGAGUGGAACUGCGAGUGUAGAGGUGAAAUUCGUAGAUAUUCGCAAGAACACCAGUGGCGAAGGCGGCUCACUGGCCCGAUACUGACGCUGAGGUGCGAAAGCGCGGGGAGCAAACAGG